UAGCGGAGGAAAAGAAACUAACAAGGAUUCCCCUAGUAGCGGCGAGCGAAGCGGGAAGAGCUCAAAUUUAUAAUCUGGCACCUUCGGUGUCCGAGUUGUAAUCUCUAGAAAUGUUUUCCGCGUUGGACCGCACACAAGUCUGUUGGAAUACAGCGGCAUAGUGGUGAGACCCCCGUAUAUGGUGCGGACGCCCAGCGCUUUGUGAUACAUUUUCGAAGAGUCGAGUUGUUUGGGAAUGCAGCUCAAAUUGGGUGGUAAAUUCCAUCUAAAGCUAAAUAUUGGCGAGAGACCGAUAGCGAACAAGUACCGUGAGGGAAAGAUGAAAAGCACUUUGGAAAGAGAGUUAACAGUACGUGAAAUUGUUGGAAGGGAAACGCUUGAAGUCAGACUUGCUUGCCGAGCAAUCGGUUUGCAGGCCAGCAUCAGUUUUCCGGGAUGGAUAAUGGUAGAGAGAAGGUAGCAGUUUCGGCUGUGUUAUAGCUCUCUGCUGGAUACAUCUUGGGGGACUGAGGAACGCAGUGUGCCUUUGGCGGGGGUUUCGACCUCUCACA
rnacentral:rRNA from 1 species